rnacentral:rRNA from 1 species
CAGCAGUCAAGAAUAUUAGUCAAUGCUCGCAAGAGUGAACUAGCUAACUGAAAUCACAUGCCCUAUAAUUAUAGGAAUUGUGAUAACGUAAGGGAAAACAAUGAUAUUACCUUACUAUUAGUGUUGUCCAAAACUGGUGCCAGAAGACUCGGUAAGGCCAGAGACGCAAACGUUAGUCGUCCUAAUCAGGCGUAAAGGGUGUGUAGGCUGCUUUAAAAGUUCUUAUUUAUAAUAGCUCUGUAAAAUUUUUUCUACAGUAUAAAUAAAAUGAAUUAAAGCUAGGAUCAAAAUGAGGAUAAGCCAAAUAAUACUUAGUGUAGGGUUGAUAUCUGUAGAUACUAGGGGGAAUACUAAAGGUGAAAGCUUUUUAUCUAGUAAUGAUUGACGCUGAGAAACGAAGGUGGGAAUAGGAAAUAGGAUUAGAUACCCAGAUACCUCUCACUGUCAACGAUGAAUGGUGGUUGUUAGUCUUUUUUUUAAAAAACUAGUAACGAUGUUAACACGAUAACCAUUCCGCCUUGCGAGUACGGUUGCAAAACUGAAACCAAAAAAAUUAGUCGGUCUCGAAGCAAACGAAGUGAAGCAUGUUAUUUAAUUCGAUAAUCC